UACGUAGGGUGCGAGCGUUAAUCGGAAUUACUGGGCGUAAAGCGUGCGCAGGCGGUUCGUUGUGUCGGCGGUGAAAGCCCCGGGCUCAACCUGGGAAUGGCCGUUGAAACUGGCGAACUGGAGUGUGGCAGAGGGGGGGUGGAAUUCCGCGUGUAGCAGUGAAAUGCGUAGAGAUGCGGAGGAACACCGAUGGCGAAGGCAGCCCCCCUGGGCUGACACUGACGCUGAGAAGCGAAAGCAUGGGGGAGCGAACAGG
rnacentral:rRNA from 1 species